rnacentral:rRNA from 1 species
GUGUCAGCCGCCGCGGUAAUACGAAUGGGGCAAGCGUUGUUCGGAUUUACUGGGCGUAAAGCGGGCGUAGGCGGCCGGCUAAGUCGGAUGUGAAAUCCCGGGGCUCAACUCCGGAACUGCAUUCGAUACUGGUCGGCUAGAGUUCGAGAGGGGGAUGCGGAAUUCCGCGUGUAGCAGUGAAAUGCGUAGAUAUGCGGAGGAACACCUGAGGCGAAGGCGGCAUCCUGGAUCGACACUGACGCUGGGGCCCGAAAGCGUGGGGAGCAAACAGGAUUAGAUACCCUGGUAGUCCACGCCCUAAACGAUGUCUACUAGCCGUUGCGGGUAUCGACCCCUGCAGUGGCGCAGCUAACGCGAUAAGUAGACCGCCUGGGGAGUACGGCCGCAAGGUUAAAACUUAAAUGAAUUGACGGGG